ensembl:lncRNA
GAAGGAAACAUACAUUAAUACCUCAGAAAUGUCUCAGGCCACACCUUUUGCCCGGUUUUGCCUGGGGCCUGUCUCAGCACCAUAAAUGCCUCAUUACAACCCCACCUGGGGCACUCUUCCCAUUUGGACAGCACCGAUCUGCUCCUCUCUGUCCUGGGCAGGAGGCAGCCCCCCUGUCACUGGCUGCAAUGAUCGUAAAUGCCCAGGCCAGGCCAGGCACGUCAGAGCCUCCCCUGGGAGCUGGGGAGUGUUUACACGGCUGGCAGGGAGGCCGGCCUGGGCGUGAGAAGAGGCCUGUUUAGAGCAGAGCGCCCAGAAGGAUUUACGGCGGGCCGGCCGCUGAAAGGGAGCAGUCAUUAAGGAGAGGGGAGGAGAGUCUGCUGCCUUUUUUGGAAAAUGAGGAUAAAAAGAUGUGAAUUUAGUGCUUGUGAGAGGCAGAGGAAAGCCCUGGAAACAGAAGUCCUUAACUUGCCCCAGAGGCACAGGUGGGCCUGGCUGUGACCCUGUGGCCCAAGGUGAGGCCGAGGCCUUGGGGAGAAGCCUACAAGGUGACAGGCCCUGAAGACUCUCCCACAUCUAUUGCGCCACCCCAAAGCCAGCAAGAGAGACAUCUGAUUUUCUGUGCCAUCUGCACUUCAUUUCACCUGUAAAGACCAGCGAGACAAGCUUUUAUUCUUCCCCUUUUAGGAUUUAUUUAAAAAUUCCAAAUAUUCUUGAUGGGUCUUGACCUUACAGUCUAAGGCUUAGAUGGAUAGAUUUUCAUAUGUGCUCCUUGAGAGUACUUACAAACUCUUCCAGAAGCUUUUGUUACUUUUCUGCAUUGGCUUUGCCCCAGUCAUGGGUAGCUAUAUCUGAAAUAAUUUCCCUAAUCAGUUCCUGAAAUUGGAAGAAAAGGGUAGUGGUCAUGUUGUUUGUGUCUUCCCAGCACCCCUUUCUUUGGGAAACUUCCCUCUCUCAUCUGUAUGGUGCUGAUGGUCUGUCAAUCCUGGGACUCUUGUCUCCCUCCAAAAAAAUGAUACCUGACCCAGGGCAGAGAUGGUGAUUGGUCAGGAGUAGACACGUGACUCAGGCUUGGCCAACCACAGGACCACAUCUUCUGGACAUAGUGAUUGGCCUAGGAUGAACACACGACCCGAAAUAGGGCAAACGGAGUUCCUUUGGGAAAUGGAUGCGCAUUAGUUUGAAGAGAGAACUGUUAAGCUGUGCCAUCUGACCUGGCCACAGGAGGGAGCCUGUCUAGAGUAGAAGAGAAUGGAGCCAUGGCACAAGGGAAGAAGACUGGAGACAGGGAGGCAGAGGGAUCCGAGGUCAUCAUUUGUGCACCCUGGGAUGAAGCAGAGCUUGGAGUCAAUUACACCCCUGGACUUUGUAGUUGGGUGAAAUCCCUUUUGAUGUUUAAGCUAUUUUGAGUUGGGUCUCUGUCACUUAUAACCCAAAGUUCCUAAUCCAUUUAGCAAAUGCAUUUUGUAAGAUGGAAGCUAUUUUGUUUAUCCAAAAAGAGCAUUUAAAAUAUUGUUUCUUUCCUUAGUGGCUCUGUCGUUCAUUUGCUUCUCGUGCACCUAACUCGGGUGCUGCCAAGCCUUCCCUAUCUGUCGUGCAGUGUUGAGAGACCAGACUACUGUUGUCCCGCCUGUGCCUGCAGGCCCUCACCCCAGCUCUUUCCGGCCAGCGUACGCAGCUGAGGAGCAGCUUGAGGGAGCCACCCUGUUGCUGAUGGUGAAGGGCCCGUUGUGAGAACGGAAGUCUGUGCCACAGUGCUGUGUCCUGAUGCUCUCAAAGCUGCCUCAGAAUGAUGCAAAAGAAGGGAAGUCAGUCACCUGGAGGCAGUAUGAUGUAGCGGUUGAGGGCAUGGUUUGGGGAGCCAGAGUAGCAGUGGCCCAGUCCCAGAUUCACCACUUACCAGCCGUGCAAGGUUGGCUCCGUUCCCUAGGUUCCAUGUGCCUCAAUAACCUCAUCUGUUCAAUGGGGCUGAUAAGAAUGUCUAUCACAUAGGGCUGGCUGAGGAUUCAAUGGCUUGUUAGUAUUCUGGGGUUCCAUUAGUAACCCAGAGCCCAGAAACAGGACUGCUGAGGCCGGGAGCCUCACUAAAUCUUUCGUGAAAUUCCAGUUCAGCCCUUUCCUAGCUGUGUGCCUUUGGCAAGUCAUUUAAUGUCCCUCAGUGCAGUUUUCCUACCUGAGAAAAGAGGAUGGUAACAACACCUUCCUUAGAAGAGUGUUGAGGACUAAAUGUAAGAGUACUUAAAAUGUGCGUAAUUGUAAACAUACAUAGCAGGUACUCAGGACACAUCGGCUGUCAGGGUGACAGUCGACACAGCUCUUUCCCAACAGACGACAAUAGACCCACCCCAGCCGUCUUUGCAAGGAGCAAGCUUCUCUCACCAUGAGAUGUGGCAAGAGGGGCUUGGCCUGACGUGGGGCGUCAGGAGGCCUGUCCUUGGCACGUUCCCCAAUCCUUACAUUGACAUGCACACACACACACGCGCACAUGUGCACGCGCAUCCACCCCCAGGGGUGCCUUGUGCCGGGGUCCUCUGCCUUUUCAUGGACAAGGGGUGAUUGCUGUGACAACUGGUUCUGAUCUGUCGUAUUUGCCAGUUGCCUAUUUCAAUCCACAUGGAAUAUCCUGAUACUCACAGGCUUUCUUCCUUGCACAGUAUCACGCAACACUCUUUACCUUCCGGUUCAGGAAAUGCAUUUCCUUUUGAGACUUUGCUGUCCUCCAAAUGUAUCUGUUUUGAAGGGUUCAAUUAACUUAUUGUGUGGAAAUAAAUCAAUGUAACUUAUUUUUAUGUAACUGGCUUAAAAACCAUCAAAUUUUACCUUUAACCGACUGUGUUUUCACUCUGAUAACUAUUUGAUAAUUUAAACAUUGUGUAGUUUUAAAUGUCCUACCAUUAUUCCAGGAUGAUUUGGCACAGUAUAUUUUAUUCUGUCUCUCGGAGAAAUGCUGACCCUCUGGAAACAAAUGAUGGUUAAACUUGUAUUUUUUAAAAGAAAACCAAUAGACUUUUUGGUAGUUUUAAAGCAAAAAACAAAUAAAUAUUGAGAUUUUUUACA